GACUCUCUAGUUCCUAUUGAAUUUUUCUCUCAGAUUUCUAUUUCCUAUCCCUCCCUUAUCGCUCCCUCUUUGCUCUGCUCUCUUUUGCUCUUCCUGUCCAACCCCAUCUAUAGGAUCCAUCUCUAUCCUCCACCCCAAACUCCAUAGUACCUUUCCAUCUCGAUAGUACUCAUCCUGCUUAUGGAGUGAUAUGAAGAGGAAGGGCAAUUAUAGAGAGCAUGGGGGGAUGGUGAGAGACUGAGAGAGAGAUUGGCUCAAUAGGGAUUCAUGAAAAUAUUUUUGUUGGUACUGAUACAAAAAUAC
rnacentral:lncRNA from 1 species